GUAAACAUGAGCACAUGUAAUUGAUAGAUUACGAGGUUUAUGGUCGGUCUUCAUCACCCUUGAUUGUAUCGUAGAAUUUAUAGGAAGAAUUUAUGUGGAUUUUAAGAUUUUGUAAAAUUCUUGGAUUUUAAAUCAGUGACUUAUUGUUGAUCAGCAGAUAUGGAAAGUAAGUUUGAUUUUUUUUUUUUUUUUUUUUUUCCAGAAAUUACAAAACAUGAUUACUGCAUGCUUUAGGUAGGAUUUUGUUUGUGAUGUGUAGAAGGACUUUUCUUAUGUAUACUAUUUUCUGUUGGUGCAAUCUAUAAAGAGAAAUGAAUUUUAUCUGAUAAGAGGACAAAAAUGAACUAUGGCAUCGAUGCACACAAUUUAUAAAUAUAUAACUGAAUUACAUAACUAAUAAACUGCAUGCAUUCAACCUCAGCAUAAUGCGUACUUUUAACAACACAAGUUUAUUAUUCGUAUGUUAAUAUUUUACCCAAUUUUACGAUUAUUUUUCACCAAUGAUAAACCAUGAGACAUUUAUGUUUGAUAUAACACAUGUUUUACUAUAAAUGUCAAUAUUUUACUAUAUAGUUGUACAAUAUGUUACCACAGAAACAAGAUGACAUCAAUACUUGGUCAUCAGCUGGUCUCCAUCAAGUUUAUAAACCUCAUUAUUCCUUUGUUAUUAGAGACAGACAUAAUAACAGUGUAUUGGGGAAUAACAUCAAUUUCUGUAUUUCUAAUAUUAAAGAUAUUAGAAGUUUUUUAAUGCACAUAAUUUUUAUUUCUAUUUUAUCAAUCAAAACAUCGUUUUGCAGGGUCCAAUAUCUUGCCCCAAAUUAAUCUAGUACUGAAGCCACUACACUCAUGUAAAGAAAUUGUUAUUCAUGACCAAAUACCAUAGAAAUUAACAGCCAUAGGUUUCAGAUUCAGAUUCAAUAUUUUAUUAAAGUCUCACCACUUGUAUAACAUUAUACAUUCCAAUAAACAUAUAAAACAUUGCGUAUAACAUGAAAUAUUGGAUAACAUUUAUAAAACAUAUUGUAUAUUAAAACUAACAGUAAAAUAUCAUUAGCUUAAAUACUAAAACAUGUACAAGUGCCAUUCUAUUAAGAAUUAUGAGAGACUAAUAUUAAAGGAUUAAUUAUAUACAAAAUUUAUACAAUUUUAAAACUACAUAUAUCUAAGAUUUAACAUAUAUCAUCAGCUAUAUACAAAUAAAAAAUUUGUUCUUCUACAUAAAAUGUUAUAGCAGGUUUUAGCAACUACCUGACAUAGUUCUUCGUUUCUGAAUAAAAAUAUAAACUUUUCGUCAAUAGACAAGUUAAAAAAUUGAUCGUUAUGUUUUACAGCUUUACUAUACAAUAUAUUUCCAUAGGUCACCGUGCGGCCUUUAAUAAUGAGCAAGGGCCAUACGGCACAAUUAGCUAUAAGUCCAAAUAAGCACACUAUCUACCUAUAUUUUUUUACAUGAUUCGAUAUUAUAGUGCAAUUCAAUUAAUUCAGUUUAACAUGUAAAAAAUAAAUCAUAUGAAUGAAGCAUUCAAGCCUUAGUGGUCAUCCUUUGACUUUAAUUAUAUACGCAAGAACUUAAAUACAAGUAAUUGAGAGGGAAAAUAUCUUUACAAAAAUGAUCGUUGAUGCCAAAGACUUUUCAAAUGAAUUUUCAAUUACUGACAGCAAGCUUCCGGCAAUGCAAUUGUUUUUAUUGAAGAUUUAUACAUUUUCAUACGUUAUAAAUAUUCAUUAGGUAUUGCCUUAUUGGAAUCACAUGAAUCUUAUGUGCUAGUUUUAAUAGUACAAGUCCUAAACACAGCCCUCAGCAAUAAAAUAAUAAUCUGUUAUCGACAGUCAUAAAAAUUCAAUAAAAUGAAGAUUACACACACAAUAAUGGACCCCAUGCAAUCUAUUUGUUUAACAUGUCCUGUUAGCCCUCGGGGUCCAAUAAAAUUAUGUACCUUGAGAAGAAAUAGUUAACCCUUCCUCGUCUUCCCUGUGUUUUAUGGUUUUUAUAUUUUGUUAAUUUUAUGUUUAUAAAUCAUUGACACGGUAUUUGUACAUUUAAUUCAAAACUGACAUAACAUUUUGUAGUAUCUAUAAAAGAAGAAAAAUUGACUCAUUUUUGUGAUGUUUUUCGUGUUUUUUAUUUUGAACUUUAUCACGAAAGGUCAUACGAAGGACAUUGAUAGAUAGGGGAAUUUAUGAUGAUGAAGUAAAUGCAUAUCGUGUCCUCGAACCAAGUGGACGUAAAAAUAUGGCGGGAAAGAUAUCUUUUUAUAAUUUACGACAACUAUGAGACGGUUAUGUGGUGUGGGUUUCUUUUCAAAGUACUAACAGAGAGAUUUGGAAAGAAAGGUCAAAUGGGCAUAAAGUCACAGGAUAAAUAAUUGCAAAAUUCGGUGCCGAAUUUGUGUAAGAAAUACGAAUAUGCGGGAAAAGGCUAUUUUAAAUUUGUCUUGCAAUUUUAUAUCAUAUAUCACAAAACCACAAUCAAAUAGCUAAAAUCGAGUGGUUAUCCUUUUACGGUGUCCUAUAAAAUUAAAUAUAAACGGGACAAAAAAAAGUCACAAUAUUUGUAGUAUAUAUAUCGGUAUUUACGAGAAGGGAGGGGAAAAUCAAUGAAUGAAACUUGCAUUUUUAAAUUAUAUAAAAUCAAAGAUUUCUUUUUGUAACGGAAGCUCAAGUCGAAAGGUUUUCUCCUCACAGUAUUGGCAGUUCUGUGGCGGAUUCAAUGGGGGGUCCGGUGGUUUAACCGUCCCUCUUUUUGGAGGCGAUCAAUACAUUUGAAUGUGCACAUAUGGCUGGACCCCCUUUUAAUCUAGGGUUGGGACCCUCCUUUUUAAAAAUGCUGGAUCGGCCGUUACUUUAUAAAAUGUUUCGAUAGGACAAAGGGUCACCGCAAACAACUUUUAAAUUUGGUUUUGGCUCCUGAACGUUUUGGUCAGAGUAUUUAGAAGAGCGUGUCUGGUAUAGAUUAGUCCCUUUGGUAUCAUUCGUCUCUCUUUUUAAGCUAUCAAAGGAUACAAUUGUAUUCAUAAAUGAGGGAAUCGCAGACAGUUUGGGGGAUAAAUUGUAAAGAAAUUGUAGGGUUUCAUUUUUGAGAGGAUCAUAUAUACCUAUAGCUUUCAAGUUGAGACCAUAACUUCUUGUCACUUGCAAAUAUGUAGAAGUCAUAAUGUUUGUAUAGCAGUUACGGGGAGUAUGUUGUCAAGUUUUGUUUAUUUACCAAUUAAGCUGUAAGAUUUAUUCAUUAAGUUGAUAACAAAUGCACAGUUAUUUUUCGACGAAUUAUUGUAAGUACUCGUUUUAUUUUAUUAAGUUAUAACACAGUAUUUUUUUUUUUUUUGGGGGGGGGGGGGGAAUAGCUAGAUUCACAACUAUCUGAGUGCGCACCUCACUCCAAUGCACAGGUACCACGAAUUCACAGUACUGGAUUCUCUACUGCAAAUAUACAUAUGAACGAACAGUUUUGUACUGUUAUGUAUUGUUUCAUUUAUGUAACGGACUGCAAAAAUGAGAUACAAAAUUAAUUUUUCAAAGUUGUAGCAAACAUUCAUCAUGUUCAUAUAUAUCCAAUUCGACCAAAAGGGAUAGAAUAUUACUCUAUGAACGUAGUUUGUUUUCGAGUAGAAAUUUAAUAACUAUCAGAAUCGAUAUAAGCUUCGGCUGGCUUUGAGUCAUUCAUACGAAUCUUCUUGCAGAGAAAUAACAAAUCGUAGUUUUACGCUUCCAAAAUUUGAAAAUAAAUUGAUGAUUUUUAAUCCUCUCGUAAAACAGCUUUUUUUCACAAAUGUAUAACCUCAUCUAAACGAACAACUCCAGUCUUAGAAUUAUAAGAUUUUGUAGAAUAGUACAUAAUGUUGAAAGGAAUAACCAUCCACAUUGGUCCCCCUCCCCUAACAAAAUAAAACCUUGUUUGACCGAGACGAUGCACAACUUAUUUUCCUCAGUUUUCAAAACCCAAUACAAUGUGUAAAUUUGUCCUCAAGUCAAGAGUUUCAAGUAUGCCAUUAUAGAUGAUUUUUCGUCUGAAUCAGAAUUGUCACUUGAUAAUGGUCUAAUCUCCCGCCCUCAUUGUCAGAACUAAUUGCUUGUUAUUCAUGUUCGAUUUAAGCGGGCUGUAUAAUUAACAUCUGGCGAAUUCGAUGGAGCCAAAGACCACUUUUCUUCAAAAAUGAAAAUUUAAAUGUCGAUUGUGUAGGGACAGAUGAUGUCAUUGUCGUCUGCUGAAAACCCGCACGUGGCUGUCGCGUGAGCUCUCAACAAUGCAGCUGGAUAGUCAUAUUUUUUUUAAUGCCAUACGAGUUGAACUUUAAAGUUCAAUUUCCUUUUUAUGUAGAAAUUUAGAUCAUAUAUUUCAAAGAAUUAAACAAAAAACGUCCAGUUUAAAUAAAAUAGUAAUUAAAGGUCAUUAGUGUAUUGAACAUUUUCGCCGUUAUAAUAAUAAUCAAUUGACCUCAGAUAAAUAGCAGCAUACCGGUACAUCUCUCUUUACCUUAAUCAGAAAUUAUGAAUGAAAUGAAUUUUACCUGUGGUAAUAAAAUACCGUUACCUGCACAGGUGUGAUCAGGUGUAAAAUCGUUAUCGUAUUCCAACAGGUAGAGAUAUUUCUAAGGCUUUGAUUACAAUCAACCAGAGAUACCUGUUUAUUGUCAAUCACAAUGGAAAGAAACCUUCUGAAGGAUGAUGUCGGAUUACCGUGACACAUAUUUUUUUUCUGUCAAGAAAUAAAUGAAUAAAUUAUCUAUCCCCUUUUACCUUUUAACAGUAAAUCUAUUUCACCCCUUUUUAAUCUGUGCGUUUUUAAGAAUAUUUUGACUAACAUUAUUAUAUGCUUAAUGUACAUAAAAUAGUAGGUGUAAAUAUUUUUAUUUUAGUGUUCUUUUACAUUAAUAAAUGGUUUUAGGACAACAAUUAUCUUUUAAGGAGUGUAUAUAUUCUAAUCUAGUCUGCUCCAUGUUUUUAAACAGCAAUAAAUAAAAAUUAAGGGAUUUUUUUAUACCGUGUGACACGGGUGCUCCGUUGCGGAGGAAUUUACUUAGAGAAGAAAGACACAAUUAUGAUAGGGUAUUAACUAUGUUAUCAUAUUGUAUUAAUUGAUUAUAAUUAUGACAGAGAUGAAAUAUGAUUGACAGGUAAUUCAGAUCGUGCGAAUUAUAGCGCACUGUGCACAUGCAGAACUCGUAAAGAAAUAAAGAUAAAUAUAUAUAUAUAUAUAAACAACAAAAUGAAAUACAUGGAUAGAAAAAUAUAAAUCCUUGUAACAAUUUGAUAUAAUUAUACAGACAGAAGUUAAAUUUGAAAUAGAAAACCAAUUUUUACACGUCCCUUUGUAUAUGACAAACAAUCCCAUGGUGCCAGCACGAACCUGCAGCUUAAAGCAAUGUAAAAGAUGACCUUUUAAAAUAAUUAUUAUAAAAUGUAAUUAUAUUAGGGUUUGAAUUUCCACUGAUACGCUUCCAUUAGAGAUAUAACAAAAGAUCGAUGGAGAGACAAAGAGAGAACAAAGAAGACAUGAAAAGACAAACAUCAUCAUGUUAAACAAAUGUUACUGAUAGUUAUAAUUACAAAAUUAAAUUGACGGAAUAGAACACGUAAACUUGACCAUCUGUACAUAGAAUUAUUAGUCAGAAUAGUUUGUUUGAUAAAUGUAGGGAAAAAGGGGGGUACUGAUAGAAAUAAUUACAAAUUAAAUUGACGACGGAAGAGGACACGUAAACUUGACCAUCUGUACAUAGAAUUAUUAGUCAGAAUAAUUUGUAUGGUAAAAUUUAAGGCCAGGUUCUUUUAUAGUUUUUUGUUAAAAAUUGUUUUUCACACCAUACAAAGUUUCAUUAUUUGUUUAUGCUUUAAAUGUCUAAUUGUUCGAUUUGUCACUUAAUUGUGUGAUGAUUCAGGAUGACAACUUUAAAAAUUGUUCACAAAAAAAGAAAAUCAAUAAUUUCCUAUAUUUAAAUUUAAAAUUUUGUAAGAAGCAGAAAUAGCAAACAAAAUUUAUAAAAAGUUUGAAACGGGAAAACUGAAACAGAAUGUGAAAAAAAAAAUUCAGUCAUGUUACAAUUUUUUGUUUGAAAUUAUCCAAACGUUAAAUAACCCCUUUUAAGGUUUUAAUGGUAUCGUUUGAAUUAAGUCAUCUUUUAAAACGGAAUCCAUAAAUGCAUGGCAGAUGAUAUCUGUAUAUUAUCAUUCUUCGGCUCAAAAUAAAUUAUUGGCUUACGGUGUCAUGUUAGUUUAUGCUUAAGCAACCCCUAUGCAACCAAUCAUAUUUUUGUCGGAGGGGUAGGAACAAGAAAUACUCCUUGACGAAUUUAUUGUUCACCGUGUGAGUUUCACUCUUCCUUUCUGAAACAAAUAUUUGUUUUCAUGAAAUCGAAAAUCAUACAUUUAACCCCCGUACCUAAAAUAUGUAAUUUUUGUGAGUCGAUGCCUUAACGGUGUUUUCAAUCUGAUAAUCUCUUUGAAGAACCUUGAAAAGGAAAUUGAAUAUAGGAUGUAAAGAAAGUAUCUAAAUGCAGACAUAUAUAUAUUUACAAAUAUAAGUGCUUUGAUGUGUGUCCUGUGACACCCAUCACUCCUAAGAGAUUACGCGUUCUCAUCUUACACAGAUAAGGCUGUCUAAACACCGGAUCUCCCAUCGGGUUCUGUUCCGGUUUGACAAGAUCCCAAGAGGGAACACACGAAUUAUCAUAUCUGCAUCAAAUAAAUCCGAUUAGCGUCCGGCAUUUGUCAUGCUGGGUACUAUAGAAGUUGUUUAUCUAAUUAGAGGCGUGUAAUAUUUCCGAGUCGGGUAGAUGAUAAAAUCAAUAAACGGACUUCUUUAGAAUUAGUAUUAUUUGAUUUGCGAGAGGAGGAAGAUGUGUGUAAAAUAGUUAGGAGUUUAUACGUUGACGUAUUUUCGUAUUUUUCAACGGCUGCUUGUGACAUAACAAAAAUGACAGCUUUCACGGGUAAGAAUUUAAUAAUUUACUUCAUUGUAUAAAGUAAAAUGUUUUAAAUGUAAAUCAACUAAGGUUAUUCUAUAUUGGUAUUUUGUGAUAAUGAAAAUUACUAAUUAAUCAGUUAAAACAGUUAAUAUUUGUAUUCAUGUUGCUGACAAUCUUCAAACACCAUCUUCUAAGCCAUUUCAAGGUAUAACCGAACAUUAUCAAAUCAAAUAAUAAUUAAAAAGAAACAAUGACCAAAAAAUCAUUUAAAAUAUUUUAUAUAGUAUACUGAAGUAUUCCUUUCUCAUGUUUAUGUUUACGUGUACAUUGUUAUAAUCUGAAUAUUUUAGAACUGAAAGUUCAUUGUAAUAACUUUAUUUGGAGAAGACGGUCCUUUGAAACGAUUAUAUAGUCACUUUUUUUGGCGACUUUGGUUACUAUUCUAACUUCUUAAUGUGUGAACUGUUAUCGUAGUAUACAAUAUGAAUAAUAAAGGUUUCUUAUCUGCUUUAUGCUUGAUAACAUUUUAUACUUCGAGUUAAACAUUAGAUAUCCUUGUGGUACCCAUUCGUAGAUACGAUAACAUUUUAUACUUCGAGCAUUAGAUAUCCUUGUGGUACCCAUUCGUAGAUAGAUAUUCGCAUUAGAUACUUGGUACCCAUUCUAUAUACAUAACAUUUAUACUUCGAGUUAAGCAUUAGAUAUCCUUGUGGUACCCAUUCUUAUUCCGUAUUUGGGUACCCAUUCUACUAUCGAGUUAAGCAUUAGGUUCCUUGGUACCCAUUCUGUACUUCGAGUUAAGCAUUAGAUAUCCUUGUGGUACCCAUUCUGUACUUCGAGUUAAGCAUUAGAUAUCCUUGUGGUACCCAUUCUGUACUUCGAGUUAAGCAUUAGAUAUCCUUGUGGUACCCAUUCUGUACUUCGAGUUAAGCAUUAGAUAUCCUUGUGGUACCCAUUCGUAGAUACGAUAACAUUUUAUACUUCGAGUUAAGCAUUAGAUAUCCUUGUGGUACCCAUUCGUAGAUACGGUAACGUUAUCUUAAGUCAAUCUAAAAAUCUAAGCCUAGAGCGAGUGAAGAAAUGUCUGUUGCAAUAAAACUAACAUGGUGUUAGUGGUAUUGGCUUGCCUAACGUUUACCUUCAAGAUAUGUCUACUUUGACCUUUAAUCAUGAUAAUGGUAUACUUUUACAAAUUGCGACUUGGAUGGAGAGUUGUCUCAUUGGCACUCAUACCACAUCUUCUUCUGUCUAUACUUGAACACCACUUAUCAAUAUAAGGAAGUAUUAGUUUGUACUGUAAUAUAUUGUAUAUCAUAUUCGCAAAAAAGCACUUCGAGAGACAAAUGUAGAAGGUACAAUUGUGCAAGGGGGCCUCAUGAAGCUACAUUUAUGGUUAUUGAUAUUUCACAGUGUAAGAAACGUAAUAAAUCUGCAUGUAGUGCGUAAAGCAGAAUACUGAAUGUAAACUACUGAGAUUUAUAAAUCAAGCCAAGACGUUGUAAUAGGACGACACUGCGACUGUAACAAGGUGUGAAAACAACCAUACAACUCGUGUUUACAGGAAUAUACUAUCAUGUUCUAGUUAUUCAUAAUGUCCUGUAUACAUUCUACAUCCAUUUGUCUUUUGAUUAUUUUGACUUAAAAUGUCAAUUUAACAUGACCAGACGCAGCCUUAUACAUGUUAUAUGAUUUGAAUUUAUUGUCCUCGUGAUUUUAUUAUUUUUUUUCUGAUAAUAUCUGAAGGCUAGCUCGAGUUAAAGUAUAAUGCCAUAGAUUGAUUGAUUGUUGUUCGCGUUCAUAUAGGCGGAUCUUUUUUUAAAGGGGCUCCCAACCCAUGCAGGAGAAAGGGGGUUCCAACUUUGCUAUAUCAUAUGUCCCAUUUAAAUGCAGUGUCCAACCCUCGGAAUCGUCCCGAUCCACCAAGGAUGUUAUUUACUUGCAACAAUUUUAUCUAAAAAAAUUGUCUAUGACAAAUUAAAAAGAUCAUUUCUGCAUAGCCAUUUAAGGGAUUGUUUUUGGAAAAAUGAAUGAAACUAUAGGUUUCUAUUUUUCAGAGUCGAUUAUUUAGAGGAGGGGAAGGCUAGGAUUUCUGUGACAAAUAUACAUAGCUUAUCAAUAUGAUAAACCUGUCUGGUGCUUGUGUAAUAUUUACAUUAAUAAUUAAAUACACUAAUCAUUUGAGUAUGCUAACAUGUUGUGUUAUCAUGUUGAUUUGUGUAAUAAGGAUUUACUGAUGUAACACGUGGGUGUUCGAUAAAUCAAAAGAUUUCCUAUUGAUCGACAAAGAUACGUUUUAACGACAUAUCAAGGUUAAGAUACAUGUUAAUCUUUUAACAACUUUCAAAAAAUAAGUUCGAACAAGUUUUAAAAAAAGUAGGGAAUCUGUACAUAUUUGAUUUUUGAUAAUAUGUAUAUAAGUUAGGCCGUUAGUUGAUCUCAUUUAGGGGCCCUUUAUAGCUGACUAUGCGGUACGGGCUUCGCUCAUUGUUGAAGAUAGUACUGUGACCUCUGUGUCGUUUGGUGUCUUGUGGAGAGUUGUCUCAUUGGCAGUCAUACCACACCUUCUUUUUUAAAUGAUGUAGAAAAGUUGGGUAUAUUUUUAUUUCUCAAGUGCAUAGCAACAUGACAAAGGCUUGUCUAAGAAACAGAGUAAGACGAAUUCAUGACAAAUAAGUCUAUAAAACAAGUAUGAGACGACGUUUGAGACAACUGCUAUCAGAAAGAGUAUAAAGAUCUAGUCAAAAGCGGCGAGAUCUUUAUUUUUAACAUUUCCAUGGCUGAAAAUCUAGAAAAAAAACUCCAAAUGAAUGUUCAAAUGUUGCCAGAUUCACACAAUAAUGUUUGUCCCAUAAGUAUCCUUUAGCAUCUACAAUAGGGAAAUUACCAUUAAACAAACUUGAAAUUAUCGGUUUUCUAACAUAUAUAAAGAAUAAAACGUUGGUGCAAUAUGAGGAGCAGGAACUGCCUACCCUUCCGAAGCAAAUAGACUCCGGCUCUCAGUCACCGUCUUAUUUUUAUGUGAACCUGUUUGUCUAUUUAAGGAGGUUAUAUGAAACCCAUUUUUUGGUCAUAAGAAUGUACAUAAACUCAUCAUAGAUACCGCAGGACUAAAUUUAAUAUAUACGCCAGACGCGCGUUUCGUCUACAAAAGACUCAUCAGUGACGCUCGAAUCCAAAAAAGUUAAAAAGGCCAAAUAAAGUACGAAGUUGAAGAGCAUUGAGGACCAAAAUUCCUAAAAGUUUUGCCAAAUACAGCUAAGGUAAUCUAUGCCUGACGGUAGAAAAGCCUUAGUAUUUCAAAAAAUUCAAAAAUUUGUAAACAGUAAAUUUAUAAAUAUAACCAUAUCAAUGACAAUUCAUGUCAGCGCAAAAAACAAUUCAUGGAAUAACGAAAAAAAAAAGAUAUUUGAGAAGCUUUUGAGUCACAAAAUACAUGUGAUAAAUAUCAUAUAUUAAACGUUGAAGCUCUGUUGCUCACAAAUGAUGAAUACAAACAGCUAUUGAUUGACAUUUUAUAUUUUCUUCUUGUAAAUUUGCACAUUAAAGGUUAAAACAGCACAUAAAUAUAAAGCAUUGGGAAUAUUUCCAAACUUCAACCAUCUGCCAUAUUUUUACAGACUCAGACUGCUAUUUUAUAGUUCCUAAACAUGUCAAGCAUUGCGACCUAUUGCUAUGUUGUCGUGAAAAAUGCAAUACACAUCUUUGUUAUACGAGUCUUAUAUAUUCAGCAACGAUUAAACUAAAUUGUGGUCUAGUUUGAAAUUAUUAAUGGCAAUAAGCGUGCUUAAGAAAUUUAAUGUGAAAACUAUUUAGGAGAUUAAUUAGAUUUUAUUGACUGUCCAAUUUGUGGAAAGAUGUGUAAAGAUAUCCAUCUGGAGAGUGACAGAUGGCGGAUUGUACAGAUGAUGUUAAAAUUAUAAAUUCAAAUGCGAAUAUAUAAAACUGGGUACUGUAAUAUAUUAAAAUAAAACAUUUGCUACGUCCAAAGCGCGUUCUGGUUUACUCGUUUGAAUGGUUUGACACUAGUCUUUAUAUGAAACCCUGUAUAGCUUGCUGUUCGGUGUGAGCUAAGGCUCCGCGUUGAAAACCGUCCUUUGACCUAUAAUGGUUAACUUUUAUAAAUAAUGACGUGGAUGGAGAAUUGUCUCGUUGGCACUCAUACCACAUCUUCUUAAAUCUAAUGAGGAACCCUUAAACCCCAAAAAUUGAAAACCAUUGAUGUUAAAAUACAUAAAUUUAACACGUCAAAAGCUGUAUGACCAAAAGAAAUAGUCAAAUCAAAUUUGCCAGAGGGAGUUAAAACUUGUUUUUCUUAAUAAUUCAUAAAUUUAUUAACAUAGAAUUUAUAAAUAAUCUUCUAUAUUAAAACUGGGACUAUUGUGUAAGUCCAAGAUCAAAAUAAAUCAUUCACACUCUUCAAAAUUUAUUACCGUGUUAAAACUGUCAUCAGAUCAUGUUUAAAAAUAGAUAAAAUAAAAAUUGAAAGAUAUAUGAACUUAUUAAUAAGUUUGCUAAUUACGCCUCGUUUUCUUAACAAUAUUUGAAAGCUUCGAGGCUAAAACAUCGGUCUGAUGUUGAUUUAUUAUCUGUGCAUAAACUCUUAUGCAAUAUUAUGAUUUUAAAGCGAUUAAGGUACAGAUAAAGGCCGACGAAUUCCAGAUGAUCGAACGUUUGGACCCCUUAGGCUAUUGAGGGUGUAUACGAUUUUAAACUUGAUGACAGGAUGAUAUAUGAAAUUUAUCUGUUUUUGUACAAAUUCCCCAGGACCCAAUCAUAGUGUACAUAUAUUUUUAUGCGGGAGGGUGCAUUUUACUAAAGUUAAAUUCAUACGUUUGGAUUUUCCAAAGCAACAGUUCAAUAUUUUGAAGGAGAAAUUUAAGGAUAUACUAGUUUUUCAUUGUGUUUUUCCAUUGAGAAAAAAACAUUUUUCUAAACAUUACGGUACCACACAGUGAAUAUUCCAACAGUGAACAUCGAAAGUUAAAAAAAAACCACACAACAAAAGCACCUUAUUGCGACGACUAUAGCUCCUUUGAUAAUAUCUGUAUAGAUAUCGUCAAAUAUUCAAUACCAGUAGAUAGAUCUAUCGUCUGUUAAUUGAUAUUAAGAUACAUGUGCUGAGAUUAUUUCAUAUUCUCAUUUGUGCUGAUUCAUCAAUUCAUGUGAGAAAGUUAAUUAAGAAAAUGGCAUCAUUAAAUCUUUUAGGACUGACCACUACCAUGUUGCCUAGCAACGGAACAG
rnacentral:lncRNA from 1 species